AUGAACGCUGGCGGCGUGCCUAAUACAUGCAAGUCGAGCGAACAGAUGAGGAGCUUGCUCCUCUGACGUUAGCGGCGGACGGGUGAGUAACACGUGGAUAACCUACCUAUAAGACUGGGAUGACUUCGGGAAACCGGAGCUAAUACCGGAUAAUAUAUUGAACCGCAUGGUUCAAUAGUGAAAGACGGUUUUGCUGUCACUUAUAGAUGGAUCCGCGCCGCAUUAGCUAGUUGGUAAGGUAACGGCUUACCAAGGCAACGAUGCGUAGCCGACCUGAGAGGGUGAUCGGCCACACUGGAACUGAGACACGGUCCAGACUCCUACGGGAGGCAGCAGUAGGGAAUCUUCCGCAAUGGGCGAAAGCCUGACGGAGCAACGCCGCGUGAGUGAUGAAGGUCUUCGGAUCGUAAAACUCUGUUAUUAGGGAAGAACAAAUGUGUAAGUAACUAUGCACGUCUUGACGGUACCUAAUCAGAAAGCCACGGCUAACUACGUG
rnacentral:rRNA from 1 species